GAUGAACGCUGGCGGCGUGCCUAAUACAUGCAAGUCGAGCGAACAGACAAGGAGCUUGCUCCUUUGACGUUAGCGGCGGACGGGUGAGUAACACGUGGGUAACCUACCUAUAAGACUGGGAUAACUUCGGGAAACCGGAGCUAAUACCGGAUAAUAUUUCGAACCGCAUGGUUCGAUAGUGAAAGAUGGUUUUGCUAUCACUUAUAGAUGGACCCGCGCCGUAUUAGCUAGUUGGUAAGGUAACGGCUUACCAAGGCGACGAUACGUAGCCGACCUGAGAGGGUGAUCGGCCACACUGGAACUGAGACACGGUCCAGACUCCUACGGGAGGCAGCAGUAGGGAAUCUUCCGCAAUGGGCGAAAGCCUGACGGAGCAACGCCGCGUGAGUGAUGAAGGUCUUCGGAUCGUAAAACUCUGUUAUUAGGGAAGAACAUACGUGUAAGUAACUAUGCACGUCUUGACGGUACCUAAUCAGAAAGCCACGGCUAACUACGUGCCAGCAGCCGCGGUAAUACGUAGGUGGCAAGCGUUAUCCGGAAUUAUUGGGCGUAAAGCGCGCGUAGGCGGUUUUUUAGUCUGAUGUGAAAGCCCACGGCUCAACCGUGGAGGGUCAUUGGAAACUGGAAAACUUGAGUGCAGAAGAGGAAAGUGGAAUUCCAUGUGUAGCGGUGAAAUGCGCAGAGAUAUGGAGGAACACCAGUGGCGAAGGCGACUUUCUGGUCUGUAACUGACGCUGACGUGCGAAAGCGUGGGGAUCAAACAGGAUUAGAUACCCUGGUAGUCCACGCCGUAAACGAUGAGUGCUAAGUGUUGGGGGGUUUCCGCCCCUUAGUGCUGCAGCUAACGCAUUAAGCACUCCGCCUGGGGAGUACGACCGCAAGGUUGAAACUCAAAGGAAUUGACGGGGACCCGCACAAGCGGUGGAGCAUGUGGUUUAAUUCGAAGCAACGCGAAGAACCUUACCAAAUCUUGACAUCCUUUGACAACUCUAGAGAUAGAGCCUUCCCCUUCGGGGGACAAAGUGACAGGUGGUGCAUGGUUGUCGUCAGCUCGUGUCGUGAGAUGUUGGGUUAAGUCCCGCAACGAGCGCAACCCUUAAGCUUAGUUGCCAUCAUUAAGUUGGGCACUCUAAGUUGACUGCCGGUGACAAACCGGAGGAAGGUGGGGAUGACGUCAAAUCAUCAUGCCCCUUAUGAUUUGGGCUACACACGUGCUACAAUGGACAAUACAAAGGGCAGCGAAACCGCGAGGUCAAGCAAAUCCCAUAAAGUUGUUCUCAGUUCGGAUUGUAGUCUGCAACUCGACUACAUGAAGCUGGAAUCGCUAGUAAUCGUAGAUCAGCAUGCUACGGUGAAUACGUUCCCGGGUCU
rnacentral:rRNA from 1 species